ACUGCCAGACUUGGAACCGGGAGAGGUAAGAGGUACUACAGGGGUAGGAGUGAAAGUCUUGUAAUCCCCUGUGGGACCACCUGUGGCGAAGGCGUCUUACCAGAACGGGUUCGACGGUGAGGGACGAAAGCUGGGGGGCACGAACCGGAUUAGAUACCCGGGUAGUCCCAGCCGUAAACGAUGCUCGCUAGGUGUCAGGCAUGGCGCGACCGUGUCUGGUGCCGCAGGGAAGCCGUGAAGCGAGCCACCUGGGAAGUACGGCCGCAAGGCUGAAACUUAAAGGAAUUGGCGGGGGAGCACAACAACGGGUGGAGCCCUGCGGUUUAAUUGGACUCAACGCCGGACAACUCACCGGGGGCGACAGCAAUAUGUAGGCCAAGCUGAAGACUUUGCCUGAAUCGCUGAGGAGUGGUGCAUGG
rnacentral:rRNA from 1 species